AACCCAGUGUGUUUCGACACACUAUCAUGUCAUGAAUACAUAGUGGCAUGAGGCGAACCGGGGGAACUGAAACAUCUAAGUACCCCGAGGAAAAGAAAUCAACCGAGAUUCCCCCAGUAGCGGCGAGCGAACGGGGAGGAGCCCAGAACCUGAAUCGGCUUGUGUGUUAGUGGAAGCGUCUGGAAAGUCGCGCAGCAAAGGGUGAUAGCCCCGUACACUAAAAUGCACAGGUCGUGAGUUCGAUGAGUAGGGCGGGACACGUGACAUCCUGUCUGAAUAUGGGGGGACCAUCCUCCAAGGCUAAAUACUCCUGACUGACCGAUAGUGAACCAGUACCGUGAGGGACAGGCGAAAAGAACCCCGGCGAGGGGAGUGAAAUAGAACCUGAAACCGUGUACGUACAAGCAGUGGGAGCACCUUCGUGGUGUGACUGCGUACCUGUUGUAUAAUGGGUCAGCGACUUAUAUUUUGUAGCAAGGUUAACCGUAUAGGGGAGCCGUAGGGAAACCGAGUCUUAACUGGGCGAUUAGUUGCAAGGUAUAGACCCGAAACCCGGUGAUCUAGCCAUGGGCAGGUUGAAGGUUGGGUAACACUAACUGGAGGACCGAACCGACUAAUGUUGAAAAAUUAGCGGAUGACUUGUGGCUGGGGGUGAAAGGCCAAUCAAACCGGGAGAUAGCUGGUUCUCCCCGAAAGCUAUUCAGGUAGCGCCUCGUGAACUCAUCUUCGGGGGUAGAGCACUGUUUCGGCU
rnacentral:rRNA from 1 species